CUGGAAGGUUAAGAGGAGUGCUUAGCGCAAGCGAAGGUACGAAUUGAAGCCCCAGUAAACGGCGGCCGUAACUAUAACGGUCCUAAGGUAGCGAAAUUCCUUGUCAGGUAAGUUCUGACCCGCACGAAAGGCGUAACGAUUUGGGCACUGUCUCAACGAGAGGCUCGGUGAAAUCAUAGUACCUGUGAAGAUGCAGGUUACCCGCGACAGGACGGAAAGACCCCGUGGAGCUUUACUGUAAUUUGAUAUUGAAUCUUGACUCCACCUGUACAGGAUAGGUGGGAGCCGAUGAAGCAUGGACGUCAGUCUAUGUGGAGGCACUGGUGGGAUACCACCCUGGUGUGGUUGAGAUUCUAACCCGCAGCCGUGAUCCGGCUGGGAGACAGUGUCAGAUGGACAGUUUGACUGGGCGUCGCUCCUAAAGAGUAACGGAGGCGCUCAAAGGU
rnacentral:rRNA from 1 species